GGGGUUGUGGCUCAGUGGUAGAGUGCUUGCUUAGAAUGCAUGAGGCAUUGGGUUCAGUCCUCAGCACCA
rnacentral:tRNA from 1 species